rnacentral:rRNA from 1 species
GACGAACGCUGGCGGCGUGCUUAACACAUGCAAGUCGAACGGAAAGGCCCUGCUUUUGUGGGGUGCUCGAGUGGCGAGCGGGUGAGUAACACGUGAGUAACCUGCCCUUGACUUUGGGAUAACUUCAGGAAACUGGGGCUAAUACCGGAUAGGAGCUCCUGCUGCAUGGUGGGGGUUGGAAAGUUUCGGCGGUUGGGGAUGGACUCGCGGCUUAUCAGCUUGUUGGUGGGGUAGUGGCUUACCAAGGCUUUGACGGGUAGCCGGCCUGAGAGGGUGACCGGCCACAUUGGGACUGAGAUACGGCCCAGACUCCUACGGGAGGCAGCAGUGGGGAAUAUUGCACAAUGGGCGGAAGCCUGAUGCAGCAACGCCGCGUGCGGGAUGACGGCCUUCGGGUUGUAAACCGCUUUCGCCUGUGACGAAGCGGGAGUGACGGUAAUGGGUAAAGAAGCACCGGCUAACUACGUG